UGGGGAAUAUUGCGCAAUGGGGGAAACCCUGACGCAGCGACGCCGUGUGAGUGAUGAAGGCUUUCGGGUCGUAAAGCUCUGUCGGAUGGGACGAAUAAAGGGUGUGUGAAUAAUGCACUCUGAUGACGGUACCGUCGAAGGAAGCACCGGCUAACUCCGUGCCAGCAGCCGCGGUAAUACGGAGGGUGCAAGCGUUGUUCGGAAUUAUUGGGCGUAAAGCACGUGUAGGCGGGCUUGUAUGUCAGAUGUGAAAGCCCUUGGCUCAACUGAGGAAGCGCAUCUGAAACUGCAAGUCUUGAGUACGAGAGAGGAGAGUGGAAUUCCCAGUGUAGAGGUGAAAUUCAUAGAUAUUGGGAAGAACACCGGCGGCGAAAGCGGCUCUCUGGCUCGAUACUGACGCUGAGACGUGAAAGCGUGGGGAGCAAACAGG
rnacentral:rRNA from 2 species